GAUUCUAUAGUAUAAUGGCUAUAAUUCAUCACUUUAAGUUAUGAGAUCCGGGUUCGAUUCCCGGUGGAAUCA
rnacentral:tRNA from 1 species